rnacentral:tRNA from 1 species
CGGGGCUUAGCUCAGUUUGGCUAGAGCGGAUGGCUGUAGACCAUCAGGUCUUGAGUUCGAAUCUCAAAGCCCCGACCA